AGGCUUCUUUCCCAUAGCGGUUGCGGUGCCCGUAGCAGUGGCACCGAUCGGUUACGCCCCGGUCGGUGUCCCCGUAGCCCCGGUAGGAUACGCAGUCCCAGGAGGACAUGUACCACUUGGAGUCGUUGGGCCACUCGGCGGUGGUGGCGGAGGAUUCUCUGGUAGCCAGGCGAACGCGCAGUCGGCCUCUUUCAACAUUGGGCUGGGUGGUAUUUCAGGAUCGUUCAGCAAUUCGAACGCCAACUCGUUCGGAGGUGGUAGUGGCCUCGGAGGAUCGGGUGCCCAAGCUUCCGCACAGUCCGCCUCGUUCGGUGGAGGUCUCGGAAGAUUCGGAGGUUCGGCCUCGAAUGCCCAAGCCUCGGCAAACUCGUUUGGAGGUGGUGGUGGUGGAUUCUUGCCGUUCUUCUAAGUGAAACCAUAGGAUGACGGAGCUGUACAUAGGAACACACCACGAGCGAAGCGAAUUUAACCGAUGGUGUUAUCUCUG